GCCGAUGUGGCGCAAUGGUAGUGCGACUGCCUUCAAUGCAGAAGGUUCCCGGUUCAAUUCCCAAGUUGAUA